UGGGGGAUAGUUUAGUGGUAGAACCACGGACUCUGACUCCGUUAGCCUAGGUUCGAAUCCUAGUCCCCCAGCCA
rnacentral:tRNA from 1 species